UACGGGGGGGGCAAGCGUUGUUCGGAAUUACUGGGCGUAAAGGGCUCGUAGGUGGCCAACUAAGUCAGACGUGAAAUCCCCAGGCUUAACCUGGGAACUGCGUCUGAUACUGGAUGGCUUGAAUUCGGGAGAGGGAUGCAGAAUUCCAGGUGUAGCGGUGAAAUGCGUAGAGAUCCGGAGGAACACCGAAGGCGAAGGCAGUGUCCUGGCUGGUGACUGACGCUGAGGUGCGAAAGCUAGGGGAGCGAACGGG
rnacentral:rRNA from 1 species